rnacentral:rRNA from 1 species
AACGAACGCUGGCGGCGUGCCUAACACAUGCAAGUCGUGCGAGAAAGUUCCUUCGGGAGCGAGUAAAGCGGCGCACGGGUGAGUAACACGUAGGUAACCUGCCCCCCAGUCUGGAACAACUAGAGGAAACUCUAGCUAAUGCCGGAUGAGACCACGAUCCCCUUCGGGGGGUUGCGGCCAAAGAUGGCCUCUACUUGUAAGCUAUCGCUGAGGGAUGGGCCUGCGGGCCAUUAGCUUGUUGGUGAGGUAACGGCUCACCAAGGCUGUGAUGGCUAGCUGGUCUGAGAGGAUGACCAGCCACACUGGGACUGAGACACGGCCAGACUCCUACGGGACGGCAGCAGU